AGUUUGUAGGUCGUGUGGCACGACGCUUGCUAUUUUUUAGAAGUUUUUGGCCUGUAGGAAGUUUCUUUAGUUUAGUAUAAAUAGGGUAUCCCACAAGGGGUUCGAGGUGUUCACCUUGUACUAAAAUAACUUGUAGAAAACUUCUCAUUCCCAGCGUGAGGAAGCAAGAAUUUUUAAGAGUGCUAUGUACGUGAAUCACCAUAUUUAUUUCAACGCAACUUCCUUACUUUUCAAUUGUUCCUGUUGAACAUUUUAUUUUAAU
rnacentral:lncRNA from 1 species